rnacentral:rRNA from 1 species
GAUGAACGCUGGCGGCGUGCUUAACACAUGCAAGUCGAACGAUGAAGCCCAGCUUGCUGGGUGGAUUAGUGGCGAACGGGUGAGUAACACGUGAGUAACCUGCCCUUAACUCUGGGAUAAGCCUGGGAAACUGGGUCUAAUACCGGAUAGGAGCGUCCACCGCAUGGUGGGUGUUGGAAAGAUUUAUCGGUUUUGGAUGGACUCGCGGCCUAUCAGCUUGUUGGUGAGGUAAUGGCUCACCAAGGCGACGACGGGUAGCCGGCCUGAGAGGGUGACCGGCGACACGGGGACUAAGACACGGCCCAGACGCCUACGGGAGGCAGCAGGGGGGAAUAUUGCACAAUGGGCGCGAGCCUGAUGCAGCGACGCCGCGUGAGGGAUGACGGCCUUCGGGUUGUAAACCUCUGUCAGUAGGGAAGAAGCGAAAGUGACGGUACCUGCAGAAGAAGCACCGGCUAACUACGUG